GACGGAGGGUGCAAGCGUUGUUCGGAUUGACUGGGCGUAAAGGGCGUGUAGGCGGUCGGUCAAGUCUGAUGUGAAAGCCCGAGGCUCAGCUUCGGAAGGGCAUCGGAAACUAGCCGGCUAGAGCGCGAUAGAGGAGGGUGGAAUUCCUGGUGUAGCGGUGAAAUGCGUAGAUAUCAGGAGGAACACCGGCGGCGAAGGCGGCCCUCUGGAUCGUUGCUGACGCUGAGAGCGCGAAAGCUAGGGGAGCAAA
rnacentral:rRNA from 1 species